UAAGGCCUCUCCCCCCAUCUGGUCUAAAAGAAUCGGGUCUUUGACUUUGCUCAUGUCAGGAUGAGGUUCUCCUCCUAUUCCUGACAUGGCUGUGGGGGCACAUUAGGGUGUUGUAAGGCCUCUCCCCCCAUCCGAUCUAAAAGAACCAGGUCUUUGACUUUGCUCAUGUCAGGACGAGGUUCUCCUCUUGUUUCUGACAUGGCUGUGCGGGCAUAUUAGGGCAUUGUAAGGCCUCUCCCCCC
rnacentral:lncRNA from 1 species